rnacentral:rRNA from 1 species
GCACAAGCGGUGGAGCAUGUGGUUUAAUCGAAGCAACGCGAAGAACCUUACCAGGCCUUGACAUGCUAGGGAACCCGGGUGAAAGCCUGGGGUGCCCCGCGAGGGGAGCCCUAGCACAGGUGCUGCAUGGCCGUCGUCAGCUCGUGCCGUGAGAUGUUGGGUUAAGUCCCGCAACGAGCGCAACCCCUAUUGUUAGUUGCCAUCAUUCAGUUGGGCACUCUAGCGAGACUGCCGGUAAUAAACCGGAGGAAGGUGGGAUGACGUCAAAUCAUCAUGCCCCUUAUGACCUGGGCUACACACGUGCUACAAUGGUUGGUACAACGAGUUGCGAGUCGGUGACGGCGAGCUGAUCUCUUAAAGCCAAUCUCAGUUCGGAUUGUAGGCUGCAACUCGCCUACAUGAAGUCGGAAUCGCUAGUAAUCGCGGAUCAGCACGCCGCGGUGAAUACGUUCCCGGGCCUU